rnacentral:lncRNA from 1 species
GAGAGAUCGUCCUCCUUUUGCGCCGCCGGGGCCUCCGGCAGCGCCUCCUGGUUGGCCUCCGGCAGGUUGGCGGCGAACUCCAGCCCGUGCUCAUCCGCAACCUCCUGCAUGAGCUUGGCGACAUCCUCGGGCGGGGUGGUCGCCGCGGUGGUGUUCCCCAUCGCCUGCUCGACGAACUCCGUCUGGACGUCGAGGUUCUCGAACUGCCGUUCGAACUGGUCCAUGUUCUCGCUCACCUUCUCGAGGUUGUUGUCCUUGAGCGACUGCUCCAACGACUUGACGAUGACGCUCAUGUUCUUGUUGACCAUGUUCAUCUUGUGCUGCGUCUCCAAC